rnacentral:rRNA from 1 species
ACUCAAAUGAAUUGACGGGGGCCCGCACAAGCGGCGGAGCAUGUGGAUUAAUUCGAUGCAACGCGAAGAACCUUACCUGGGUUUGACAUGCACAGGAUGCUGGCAGAGAUGUUGGUUCCCUUGUGGCCUGUGUGCAGGUGGUGCAUGGCUGUCGUCAGCUCGUGUCGUGAGAUGUUGGGUUAAGUCCCGCAACGAGCGCAACCCUUGUCCUAUGUUGCCAGCGGUUCGGCCGGGGACUCAUGGGAGACUGCCGGGGUCAACUCGGAGGAAGGUGGGGAUGACGUCAAGUCAUCAUGCCCCUUAUGUCCAGGGCUUCACACAUGCUACAAUGGCCGGUACAGAGGGCUGCGAUGCCGUGAGGUGGAGCGAAUCUCAGAAAGCCGGUCUCAGUUCGGAUUGCAGUCUGCAACUCGACUGCAUGAAGUCGGAGUCGCUAGUAAUCGCAGAUCAGCAAUGCUGCGGUGAAUACGUUCCCGGGCCUUGUACACACCGCCCGU